rnacentral:rRNA from 1 species
AGGACGAAUGCUGGCGGUGUGCUUCACACAUGCAAGUCGAACGGGGUAGCAAUACCUAGUGGCGGACGGGUGAGUAACGCGUGGGAAUCUGCCUUAAGAUGGGGGAUAGCUAGCCGAAAGGCUAAUUAAUACCGCAUAUGUGUAUAUUUCGACAGUUUUAUACAUAAAAGUAGUAAUACGUCUUAAGAUGAGCCCGCGUACGAUUAGCUAGUUGGUAGGGUAAAGCCUACCAAGGCUACGAUCGUUAGGUGGACCGAGAGGUCGAUCACCCACAAUGGAACUGAGACACGGUCCAUACUCCUACGGGAGGCAGCAGUGGGGAAUUUUACGCAAUGGGCGAAAGCCUGACGUAGCGACACCGCGUGAACGAAGAAGCCUUUGGGGUGUAAAGUUCUGUCGGCUGGGAAGAAAAAAAUGACGGUACCAGCAAAGGAAGCAUCGGCUAACUACGUGCCAGCAGCCGC